AAAUGCAUUCAGUGUUACUGCUGUAAUGUAGUGGUCUCAGUUAGCUAGAGUGAAGAUACUGGCAUCAUAUGAAACUAGAAAAUCUAAGGAAUCCAUUGGUACCGUCAAUGUCAUACUAGCAUGUCACGCAGGAGGCUAAAUAGCGCUACCAAUUUGCGCUAAAUUUUGGCAAG